AAUUCAUGAAUAAAAAAUCCAUAGAAGCCUGGUAAUUUUUAGAGGACCUAGCAGAAAAGAGCCUACAAUGGGAGAUUACUAUAAAACCCGAUAGACAAACACCUUCGAGAGGGGGUGUAUAUCAAGUUCAACUUUUUCUAGUUGAAGAGGCUAAAUUUGCAUCUUUGAUCCAUAGGAUAGAGGCUCUAGAACUCAAGGAACACAUCCA
rnacentral:lncRNA from 1 species